GCCGGAGUGGUGGAAUUGGUAGACACCAGGGACUUAAAAUCCCUUGGGCCGAAGGCCCGUGCCGGUUCGAGUCCGGCCUCCGGCACCA
rnacentral:tRNA from 1 species